rnacentral:misc_RNA from 1 species
AACGCACCUUGCGCCCUUUGGCCAUUCCGAAGGGCAUGCCUGUUUGAGUAUCAUGAACACCUCAACUCUUCAUGGUUUUCCAUGAUGAGCUUGGACUUUGGGGGACUUGCUGGCCUACAGUCAGCUCCUCUAAAAUAAAUCAGCUUGCCAGUGUUUGGUGGGUAUCGCAGGUGUGAUAACUAUCUACGCUUGUGGUUUUCCACCAAGUAACCUUCAGCAGUGGAGGUUCACUGGAGCUCACAGACGUCUCUCCUCAGUGAGGGACAGCCCUUUGAAUGUUUGAUCUCAAAUCAGGUAGGACUACCCGCUGAACUUAA